UUACCCCAUAGCUUAAAGGUAAGAGCGACUAGUCUUGGCUAGGAAGGUGCAGGUUCGAAACUUGUUGGGGUAGUAAG
rnacentral:tRNA from 1 species